rnacentral:rRNA from 1 species
CCUACGGGAGGCAGCAGUGGGGAAUAUUGGACAAUGGGCGCAAGCCUGAUCCAGCAAUACCGCGUGUGUGAAGAAGGCCUGAGGGUUGUAAAGCACUUUCAAUGGGGAGGAACACCUUAGGGCGAAUACCCUUAAGACUGACAUUACCCAUACAAGAAGCACCGGCUAACUCCGUGCCAGCAGCCGCGGUAAUACGGAGGGUGCAAGCGUUAAUCGGAAUUACUGGGCGUAAAGCGUGCGCAGGCGGCCUGUUGAGUCAGAUGUGAAAGCCCUGGGCUCAACCUGGGAACUGCAUUUGAAACUGGCGGGCUAGAGUUAGGUAGAGGGGAGUGGAAUUUCAGGUGUAGCGGUGAAAUGCGUAGAUAUCUGAAGGAACACCAGUAGCGAAGGCGGCUCCCUGGACCCAAACUGACGCUGAGGUACGAAAGCGUGGGUAGCAAACAGGAUUAGAUACCCUGGUAGUCCACGCCGUAAACGAUGUCGACUAGCCGUUGGGCCCUUUUAGGGUUUAGUGGCGCAGCUACGACAUAAGUACGACCGCCGUCGGGAGGUACGGCCGGCCGAACGGUUAAACGUAACGUAAAUUAGAAGUUAGUUACGGCGUGAGGACGUUGCCGACGGACGACGACGAGGGGAGGUUAGG